GUCGAAGAUGUGUCAAAACAAGAAAUAUUAAAACAAAGUAGAAGUAGUGCAGGAUAGAAAUCCAGUCCAGUUAAGGGAAGCUAUAGCUCUUCCACUUUGAAAAUCCACUGCUGGAGGUUGAGGAUGACAGACUACUUCCAGACAGAUGGAAAUCAAUAACUUGGCAGCAUGGAAGAGAUGUCUGGUUAAUGUUUUUUUAGUGAUCAGCACAGGAAAUAGAUAAAAGAGCUUUGCUUUUGAAGUAAAUAGAGUUAAUACUCUUGUCUAUCCCUUUCAUUUUCUUAAUAGUUUUCCUGUAUAUUGGAUUCUUUUACCGUGUAAGUACCUUUGUGCAGGCUGAUUGCAAUGCCUGCUGGCAGUCCUGACACUGAAGGACUAACCUUGUAGUACACUUUCAUAUGGUGGUGUUAGUAAUUCUAGAUCAAGCUCAGCUGGUCCUUAGGACAGAGCCACUAUUACAGGAUUCUAUU